rnacentral:rRNA from 1 species
GGACCCGCACAAGUAGUGGAGCAUGUGGUUUAAUUCGAAGAUACGCGCAGAACCUUACCAACACUUGACAUGUUCGUCGCGACUUUAAGAGAUUAAAGUUUUCGGUUCGGCCGGACGAAACACAGGUGCUGCAUGGCUGUCGUCAGCUCGUGUCGUGAGAUGUUGGGUUAAGUCCCGCAACGAGCGCAACCCUCACUUUUAGUUGCCAUCAUUAAGUUGGGCACUCUGAAAGAACUGCCAGUGAUAAGCUGGAGGAAGGUGGGGAUGACGUCAAGUCCUCAUGGCCCUUACGUGUUGGGCUACACACGUGCUACAAUGGCUAGGACAGACGGCUGCAAACCAGCGAUGGG